AUUUAUAUGCAGUGCUUGCAUUUCUGCUAUCUUUGUGACUGAGAAAGACAUUUGUGAUUGAAAAAGGAAGUCUCUAUAGGGAAAUGUAUUUAAGAGGGCAUCUUCUCUGCCGUCCUUGCCUGGGAACCUGUCUAUGUUCACACAGGGCUUUGUGUUACUAGAAUCUUCAGAGGUGAGGUGUGAGCAGGGCUGGAGGAAGGGUGAGCUGCUUUUUAUGUCUGUGUGGUGACAUUUAUCAUGCUGUUUAAAUCUGUAUCUGUAAAAAAAAAAGGAAUAUCUGUUUGACGAUAGUAACAUUUUGUGCAAGGGGGAGCAUAUGGUUGUGCAGAAUUCAAGUGGUGUUCUUUCAUUCUUAAUUUGUAAUUAUUUUUACACUCAACUGUACUGAGGUCACAGACUUUUAAAAAUUAAUGAGAUUCCCUGUGGAGUUCAAAUAGUAAUAUCUAUGCAAGCCUCCACAAAGAGCUAAGAUUAGGUUGGUAUAUUUUGGCCAUAGCCUUGACGGUCUUACUUUGAAUACACGCCAUUUGAAACAUAUGCAGGGUACAAUAGUUUCUGGGAGUUGAUGUGAUUUGGAGACCAGCCCUUAAUUUAUUGUUUAGUGACUAGGAGACAUCCAGUCUCAGUUAAGCUGCUGAAGAUGAACGCUGUGUGUGGAGACAUUCCUAAAACUUCAUAGACAUUAUUGUCAUGACAAUAGAGGGUGUCUUGGACUUUCGAGGAAACAGCAAGUGAUGAAUGAAAAAUCUGCAAAUGUGUUUUUAUUUUAAGUACCAUGUAAAAGCUCUGUGGGAUCAAAGAUUGCUGGUAUGAACAAAGAGACAAGGAUCCACACAGGUGAAAAUUCUUUGUCACAAAAUGAGUCUAGAGUGUGGAUUCGGGGCAGUAAGUGAUUCUUUUAUCUUCAUUUUUGCGCCACAAAGGUAGUUCGCUGGGUGAGUCCAGGCAUUUUAAAAGGUAUCUAAGAACUUUCAUUUCCCACAGUUUAAAAACAUUGUUUGUGUUCGUGGUGCAAGACACUGUUUAUAUGAGGGGCUCUGUAAAGCAGGGAUCUGGGCUAAAGAUGUUUUCAUCCCCAGCUCCCCAUUUACAAGAUCCAUUCAGGUCUUCCUGUGAUAUAUUGUUAUGUAAAUACUGUUCGGCCAGGGAAAGCCGGGCUAUGGAGAUUCAAUUUACUUUGAAAGUUGUUCAUUAUAGCAAGGAUGAAUGUUAUUUAUUUGAUACGAUUCAGAGGCUGGAAAUGACUUUUUCAUUGUGGUACCUUUUGUGAUGGGUGCAGGGCGAUCUAAUCUUUUUAAUUUUGGCUUUCACACCAGUGGAGAUGAAAAGAGAUCAGAACUCAUUUAUCGGUUGCUAGGUCCUUCUGGAAGCCCACGUUCUGCUUGUGGUUGCUAUGGCCAGCCUGACCUCAAUCUCUGUGGUUUGAAGGACUUAAGCAGUCUUUUUUUUUUUUUUUUUUUUUUUAAUUGAGGAGCAUGUACCUUGAUUUAUGUCCAAAACUGUAGCUGAAAGUCUUUGUCUGUGGGUGAUAUAUGGUGCAGAACAAUUCAUCAGUUCUUACGAGUAAACACCGCUGUCCCACUAAAAAUAUGUUUUGUUCGGAGUUAAUGGUAUGGAACAAGGCAUUCUCCGCAAACAGCUAUCUUUUAUUGUGUUGGGGCCGCGGAAACGCUGAGCAAAGUGCAGGAAAUUGGCAUCAGUCCUCGCGUCUAUUAGCAUUUCAUUUGUGAGGCGCAUGAUGAGACGGUAGGUGGACCGAGGGAGGCAGGAAGGGUGCUUCGCUGUCCUCUCUUUCUCAACUGGGGCCGCCCUGGCGGGUAGCCGCAUUCGCCAGCACCGACUAAGUCAGCGUUAGUUCCCCUGAGCCGCACUGACUAUCCUCCGGAAAAUGGGAUCCAGGAGAAGUGACGCCCUCCUCGAACUGAAAGAUUUGCAGGUUCAUGGAGUCAGCAAAGAGGUUUAUGAACAGCAGCCCUUGCACUCUGCAUAGGAUGGCUGCAGGGAAUGCUUUCCGGUCUUGCCCAGAGAAGUGGGCCAGGGCCACUGAGAUUUAAAUCAGGUGUGUGAAGGAUGCUGGAAACAUGAAUUAGUGUCUGUGUUUUUCUUGUCUUGCACUUAGGCCCACCAAGGGAAGUGGGGAAGGUGGUGGCUUAAGCCUCAAAACACGCCCCUAACACAAACCAUUGUCUCCCAGGAUGUGACAUACUCCAAACCUGUUUUUUCCAGACCCUCUCUCUAUAUCUCACCAAGUUUCCAAGUUGUAAAUUUUAAAAGCAUGAUGAUAGUUUUUCAUAUAUUAAAAACAACUUGAUUUGGGAGCUAUGUUAAAAAAUUGAAACUUGAACUUUGAUUCUUUUUUAUCAUUAGUCUAUUUCCUCAUGGAAUAAGUGUUAUUGGUGAUAUGAACUAACUGUGAGAAACUUAAGAAAAAUAUUUCCUUCAAAGUCUCUUCAAAAUAGAUGCUCACAUUAUCUUUAAAUGGUGGUUAAGUGGUUCCGAAAAAAAAGCAAGCAACAUUAACAGCUUCAGAAAACAUAAACCAUGUCUCUUUAGAAGAUCAAGUUGUGCUUUAUAGCCUAGGCACUUAAUUCGUUCAGGAACUACACCGUCUCCAUGGCUGUAUUUUGUUAGAAAGGAAAGAGAGGCUGUUUCUACAGGUGUCACAGAAAAAUCAAUGCUGAGCCACGGAUUAUUGGAUCCCACGGAACCGUGGAGACUUGGCAGUGAAAUUCUUCCAAAGGUGAGUAGGGGCCAUUGAUUUUCUUUCUCAGGCCUGAGGAAAUAGGGCCCAAGGAACAGAGACCAAAUUUAGAUUGGAAACAAGUGUGACAUGACCCUUUACUUCCAGAAAAAUGCAGUAACUUCGCCAAACAAAUAAGUGUGGAAAUUCAAUGAGAGCAUAAGCAUAGAAGUUGGUGUCUUUCAGUUUUCAUCAAUUUGCUUUAAAAUAUUGUACACACACAUUCUUGGUACAUUUUAUUUAAAAGCAUAAUUGUUUGACCUUUUACCUAUAGUUCUGAUUCCUUAGUUGUUUUACUACAUUGCUUAGCAUUCCAUCUGCGCAGGCAGAGGUGUUCCUGGCUUGGGAAGUAUAAAUCCCGUGGGAAGUCAACUGGAGAACAUUUUACGCAUCGCUCAUUCUAUUAUGAGCCUGCAGCUCUUCCCUCUCUCCACAAGUUAAAGGACAGAAGCAACAAUAAGGCUGCCUGGCUACGUUUUCACCGUGCCACCAACUGCGAGUUAAGCUGACAAACAUUUUGAGAGCUCGGCCCAUUUCAUUCACAGCAGGAUGGCAGGAGUUAACACAGGGAAUCAACUAAAAUUUGUGCUUUUAUUGCACAUUUGCAUUGAAUCUCAUCACUGAAAAUGACUAAAUUCUGCUCUGCAAGUGGGUGACUGAUUGUCCCUGCCAGCUGGCUAAUAUCAUAAUUAACAAAGUUGCUACCACAUCUGCAAAGUUUAAUCGGAAAAUUUACCAGUGGUAUGAUGGCAUUGUCACCAAGAUCACAAGGAACUCAGAGUCGACUUCUGCUCCGGGUGGAACAGCAAGGCUAUGUAGCUGAGAUGAAAAAUUGUGAACUUGUUCAGCCAAAGGUUAUGCUUCAUAUCACCCACCAGGGAGGAUCAUCUCUCAUGGAAACUUUCAAAUUUGAUUUUGAAAAUUUAUUCAGAAAAAUUUAAGCCACGCUUUUUCCCAACACAAGAAAUAAUAUGCUCCAGAGAACCCUCUAAUUCACAGAAAAUGGACUGGGAUAACAUUCGGGUUCUCAUACUACCACAGUCCUCCUGAGAAGGACAGCCAGAGCAGCACAGGUAUCAGAAGAUAGUGACCGGACAUCACUCUCACAAGGUCACAUUCACCUUGCCCAUCUCUGUUUGUGAUAAUAUCCACCCAGGGGAAAUGGGACAGGAGCGUGGGAAACAACUUGAAGCAGGAGUGUACUCAGAGGAGGCUAAUAAUGAAGGGGCCGGGGAAGGAGGCCAAUGCUACAAGGGUUAUCUCACAACCUCAGAUGUUGGAUAAGUCGAAGGAGGCAGAAUCCCUUCUGGAUGACAUUCAGAAAAGCUGGAGUGAUUAUUUGGAAGAGAAAACCCUGCCUAUUCUUUCAAAGGUACGUCAAUAUUGUUGAGACCUGCUCUUCUAAAAGUCCGUCCUUAGAAAUCUACCUUAGACAAAGGAUGCACUCGGAGCCCCGCCACACCUAAAACCACGUUUUGAAGGAUCUGCCAAGCUCACUUUUAAUCAUGAGAAAGAAAUUACCCACAUGGAGACAGCAGAAAAUGAGAAAGUAGAGCUCGUGCUGCGAAUAAUUCCGGCGAGUGCCAAGGGGCUAGUUGAGGAAUGGCUUCAUGAGGUGAAUAUCUUUAGCUUGUACUUAGGGUUUGGUUAGCGUAUAAUCACUUUCUCUUUUAGGAGCGAAUACCAUCCUAAGCGUAUUUCCCAUCCAAGCAACGCUCAGGGGCAUUUGUGGGGAUGUUGACAGAUUUAAUAUCAGCCUUGCCCGCCCUUGCUGUUAUUUAUGAUGACUAAUUUUACAUUUAUAAAUAUGCAGAAAUCAAUUUAGAUGGAAAGGCUCUCUGAGCCCCAUGUCUGUCCCUGGCUGUCUGUCUUCAUGUGCAGUGCUGUGCUGUAUGGUGUGCCCAGUAAUUUAUGUCUCUGUGUAUGUGUGUGUUCUUGUCUCUGCUCUGUUGGGAACGUGCACUGGGAGAAUUAGCCAAAGGAUAGGAUCCCAGAAGAUGGGACCAAGACUUUCAUUGGAUUUUUGCAAAAGGUUAAAAAAAAUGUAUCACACCAUUUUCAAUUCAUACCAAGAGAGGGAAGGUGCCAAUUGGGUAUGAGUCAUCACGUGACCAAACAAUCAGGAUUCAAAUUGAACAACACUUUCGGUGUCAAAUUAGUUUGAAGCUCCCUUCUCUUUUAUGAUGGCUGUUUUAACCCCUUAAUGUUUACUUGUUUAAAAAAAAAAAAGUCCCUGACUUCAGCCCCAGCACACUGUAGAUCUUUGUUUCAUUUUAUUUUUCUAAAGAUUAGAUUCAAGAAAAAUAAUAGUUUACUAUUUCAAGACCGUCAUUACACUAUUCUCCCCCAAACGUGUCGUUUCUAUGUGGGCCAAAUUAAUGUUUCAUCAAGUAGGAAAAUAAACAAGUAAUAAUGUUUUUUCUUCUUUUAAGACUAAUUUUGCUAGGCAGUAAGGACAGGGACAGUCCAGGGUCUUUGUGAGUCACAGAGAAAGAAUGCAGCAAAACCCCCAGGUUGGAUCUCAGUCUUUGAUUUCCCACACGGCCAAGUCACAGGAUCGCCAUGCCAACCUUAAGCAAUUUUGGCUCCCAGCAAUCCUGUGCCUGGCGUCUUUCAAACAAUCCUUCAAUCCUAUUCCAAAGGGCCAAGGCAAGGACAUGUAGAAAGAAUGCAUUAUCUGAGAAAACGCCAGGCUGCUUUCCCAUUGGUACAUGUGUUUGGUGCCUCAGUUAAGCAUCACUGGAGGCAGGAAUCUGGAUGAUCCCCUUUAUAGAGUGUGGGGGUUCCUGAUGAAAGGGAAGGCAUUGAAGUGGCUAAGAAGAGGGGUCAUUUCUUCCAUGUGUUUCCAAAAAGAACAAGGCAGGGCUCUUCUCUAAGGGAAGAGGCACAGGAGAGAAGGUGAGCCAUCUGUGGGUGGGUUGCGUUGGAGAGGGGAGCCACCUGGGAGUGGAGUGAGGCAGGGGAGAUUGCCAGCUGGGGGAGGAGGUAGAGGUAAAGCAGAGAGGUAAGGGUGGAGGCAGGGGAACAGCUGUGUUUACUUUAACACAUAUCAUUUAACCCUCACCUAAAAAACAAAUUGGAGAGGUUUGGGAGUGCAUUAAUCUGGACCCAAUUAGCAUGUCUUUCUCCUUCAAAAAAGUGCAACCUGAGAUUAAUGAAUAUCAACCAGAGUUUCAGAUGCAGCACUUAAAUCAUUUGCAUGUUCGUGCAUGAUAAUUGAAUUUAUGUAUGCACUUCCUUUCAUUAACUAUUUCCAGUCUCCUUGUGAUUCCCAUAAACCAAAACUUCAUUCUAGUGAUUUCUGGGUAGAAAUAGCUCGCUUAGCACUUUACCCCUAAGGGAAAAAACUCAAGUGGUUGGGGUUUUGUACAUUCGAAUUUGAACAGCAUUCUUUUUUAAAUGAAGAGGGCAGUUGAUGACAAGGUGGAAUGCUGCUGCUUCUGGAGUUGGUAAAUAGGCACCUCAGAUAGAGUUUUGAAAGGCUAGAAAAAUAUGGAAAAUUCCAACAUCAAGCUUUCAGGGUUUCGGUUCGGCCAUGCGUAAGUGUUUUUAUAAUGCCAGGAACAAGGCCACUUAAAUGUAGCAUGAGAAAUGUUCUUGGAGUUUGGACCUGUGUUCUUUAGAUCACUGAGCAACUUCAGCACCCAGCAUUGUUUCUGGCUUAGUUAGAAACUUGUUUCCAUAGAAAAGGGUGGGGAUGCCCUCAACCUUUGUGAAUGGCUACAGAUAGGCAGGCAGAACUUGUGAACCCUUGGUGCUAUGGGUUUGAUCCUCCCUCCCUCCCUCCUUCCCUCUCUCCUUUCCUCCCUCCCCCCUUCCUUCUCUCCCUCCUUCCCUCCCUCCUCCUCGCUCUCUUCUUUCUUUUUUAUUAUUUGGGUGUAUAUGGCUUAAUGAUGAUAUAGCACACACAGGUUUUAAGAUUCUUCCUUUCCAUUUGGUAUCACAUGAAAUACGUAAACACAGAUAGAGUGUGGAAGAAAGUCAAACAGGAGGCUUGAAAUAAUUCUCCUGGCUUCAGUUUGUACAGUGAUUUGUCUGUCUUCUGUCUAUCCUUAUGUGUUUCUAAGUUCAAUGUCCAAGUGAUGAGCUUUUCUCCAGAAAUUCUCCCCAGUGUCCUUUGUUUUUGAUGACAUUCUAUGGUUGAAUGUUACUGAGUGUCUCCUGGUCUUGUUUCUGGUCUUCGUAGCUAAGAAUGUCAUUGAAGGAUAAAAUCUUGUUAAUUUGUGAUGUUAAAACUUAAGUGUUGCUUUGUGUCACUUACAUGUAGCUUAAAAUGUUCUCUAAUGUAGCAUGAAAUGAUUGGUUAGCUUGGAAAUGGUUGUGAAGUCGUGUGAAGAAAAUAAGUUUUCCAUCCGACCAAGAUAAAUUCACUCUAGUGCUUUAUGGCUUUUUAUUCCUAUGUGAUCGUAAUAAAGUCUCAUGUAGGGAUGGAAGCCAUGAAAUACAUUGUGAAAAUUCAUCAACUAAGAAGGGGUCGUCAGUAUAGAGAACUGUAGCCUGUGGAACGUGAUGGAGACGUGAGCUAGUGGACAGCUCUGCUACCUUUCGGUCUUCCUUGAGUGUCUUUAUCCUUAGGCAUUGACAGCUAAUGGAGGUUGCGAGAGUCUUUUCAUCUUCCUGACCACCGAUUAACAUGCACAUUCGACUUUGCGCAUUUCUGUCUAUCAUACAUUUUCUCCUCCGUUUUUCUACUAACGAACAUGCUCUGGGAAAACGUUUAAUAGCCCACCCACUUGUAGGCAGCGUUCAAACCGUCUGUGACUUUCCCCCCCGACAACUUUUGAGGUCUUUCUUCUGAAACAAAGAAGAAAUAGACAAACCAGAUUUGUCCUCUUGGGAAUGUGGUCCAGAUUUCUCUACUCCCAAUCUCCAAAAAAAGGUAUACCUCAAGUGGGCUAGCUCCAUACCUAGAUCCAAAGGUUCCGUAAGAGCCACCUUCCCUUUACAGGUGUGGUGUAACGGAGGAGAGGCCUUUAAAUAUUUGGAGAGGGGUUGGGCUCGGAUAUCUUCACCAAGUCAGCUGUGUGACUGGGGCAUAUGAAUUAAACUGUGGGACUCUUUCAUUAUCUUUAAAUGGGGGGCAGGGGUGGGGUGAUACCAACAUUGUUAUAAGGAUUAAAUGAAAGAACAGAUCUAAACUUUGCUUGACACAGUGUUUGACCUUGACUCUGUUUUAAAAAGCUCAUGAAAUAUUAGUUUCUCUCCCUCCCUCCCUCCUCCUGUCCCCUUUUCUCCCCCUCCUGUACCCCUUCCUUCUUCAGAUGUUAGUCUAUCUAGAACAAGACCUGAGGAUCUAAGCUGGACCUCUGAGAAAGAAACGACUCCAAAGAAAGACUCCUUUCCAUAUGGUUUUAAUGACUUUUUUUAACCUGAAUUGUUUAAGAUGCACUAUCAAACCACAUUCAUCUUUUCUGCUCUCUGUAUUUAUUUUUGCUUGAAUUGCUUUAAUAUUGACUCUUGAACUGCAUAUUCAUUUUGGACUCUUAAAAGAGAACUCGAAUAAAACUUUAUUUGUGUUAUUA